rnacentral:rRNA from 1 species
UACAGAGGGUGCGAGCGUUAAUCGGAAUUACUGGGCGUAAAGCGCGCGUAGGCGGCUUUGCAAGCCGGAUGUGAAAUCCCCGGGCUUAACCUGGGAACUGCAUUCGGGACUGCAUUGCUAGAGUAUGGGAGAGGGAAGUGGAAUUUCCGGUGUAGCGGUGAAAUGCGUAGAUAUCGGAAGGAACAUCAGUGGCGAAAGCGACUUCCUGGACCAGUACCGACGUUCAGGCACGAAAGCGUGGGGAGCAAACAGG